UACGUAGGGUGCGAGCGUUAAUCGGAAUUACUGGGCGUAAAGUGUGCGCAGGCGGCCGCGCAAGUCGAGUGUGAAAGCCCCGGGCUUAACUUGGGAAUUGCGCUCGAAACUACGUGGCUGGAGUGUGGCAGAGGAAGGUGGAAUUCCACGUGUAGCGGUGAAAUGCGUAGAGAUGUGGAGGAACACCAAUGGCGAAGGCAGCCUUCUGGGCCAACACUGACGCUGAGGCGCGAAAGCGUGGGGAGCAAACAGG
rnacentral:rRNA from 1 species